rnacentral:rRNA from 1 species
CCUAACGGUUAAUACCCGUUAGCGAUGACAUUAGCUGCAGAAUAAGCACCGGCUAACUCUGUGCCAGCAGCCGCGGUAAUACAGAGGGUGCAAGCGUUAAUCGGAAUUACUGGGCGUAAAGCGAGCGUAGGUGGCUUGAUAAGUCAGAUGUGAAAUCCCCGGGCUUAACCUGGGAACUGCAUCUGAAACUGUUAGGCUAGAGUAGGUGAGAGGGAAGUAGAAUUUCAGGUGUAGCGGUGAAAUGCGUAGAGAUCUGAAGGAAUACCGAUGGCGAAGGCAGCCUCCUGGCAUCAUACUGACACUGAGGUUCGAAAGCGUGGGUAGCAAACAGGAUUAGAUACCCUGGUAGUCCACGCCGUAAACGAUGUC